GAUGAACGCUGGCGGCGUGCCUAAUACAUGCAAGUCGAGCGAACGGACGAGAAGCUUGCUUCUCUGAUGUUAGCGGCGGACGGGUGAGUAACACGUGGAUAACCUACCUAUAAGACUGGGAUAACUUCGGGAAACCGGAGCUAAUACCGGAUAAUAUUUUGAACCGCAUGGUUCAAAAGUGAAAGACGGUCUUGCUGUCACUUAUAGAUGGAUCCGCGCUGCAUUAGCUAGUUGGUAAGGUAACGGCUUACCAAGGCAACGAUGCAUAGCCGACCUGAGAGGGGGGAUGGCCCACCCGGGAACUGAGACGCGGCCCAGCACCCUAGGGGGGGAACAAGGAGGAAAUUUUCCGAAAGGGGCGAAAGCCUGGGGGAGCAACGCCGCGGGAGGGAUGAAGGUCUGCGGAUCGUAAAACCUUUUUAUUAGGGAAGAAAAAUUGUGAAAGUAACUGUGCAAAUUUUGACGGUACCAAAUCAGAAAGCCCCGGCUAACUACGU
rnacentral:rRNA from 1 species